GACGAACGCUGGCGGCGUGCCUAAUACAUGCAAGUCGAGCGCUGAAGGUUGGUACUUGUACCAACUGGAUGAGCAGCGAACGGGUGAGUAACGCGUGGGUAAUCUGCCUUUAAGCGGGGGACAACAUUGGGAAACGAAUGCUAAUACCGCAUAAUAACUUUAAACACAAGGUUUAAGAUUGAAAGAUGCAAUUGCAUCACUCAAAGAUGAUCCCGCGUUGUAUUAGCUAAUUGGUGAGGUAAAGGCUCACCAAGGCGAUGAUACAUAGCCGGACUGGGAGGGUGGACGGCCACAUUGGGACUGAGACACGGCCCAAACUCCUACGGGAGGCAGCAGUAGGGGAUCCUCGGCAAUGGAGGGAAGUCUGACCGGACAACGCCGCGUGAGGGGAGGAGGUUUUCGGAACGUAAAACUCUGUUGGUUGAGGAGGACGUUGGGUGGAGUGGUAUGCGCAUGAAGUGACGGUAACUACCCAGAAAGGGACGGCUAACUACGUG
rnacentral:rRNA from 1 species